CUGGUAUCAGCUGUGGUACUGGGAGGAGAGGUAGGCCCCAGGGUGGGGCAGUACAGGUAGCCUGAAAGGGAAGCAAGUUCCUGGCACACAGCUGAAGAAAACACUCCUGGGAAUUCACCUGGUAGCAAAACCUCCCUCUUGGCUUCCUCUUGCUGUUCGCACAGUAGACUCAAAGCCUCACAGUCUGCAGAGGGACACGCACUCGGGAAUGAAGGGGUCAGUGAAGGAGGAGCAGGAGGAGGCUGGGGUCAUGUAGUUAGAACAUGUGCACUGUGGGCUGAUGGGUCUCCAGGUACCAGAUGCUAACAGAGGAAGGGUCUAACUAAGAGAGCCUGGCUGCCACGGGCUGCAGAAAGCUUCCAGGACCCAAUGAGUCAUAAAACCUGGAACGGGGUCACCUUUCCACAAUGGCUUCCGAUCAUCCUAAUGCCAGGUAUUGAGAAGUGCUGGGAAUGGAGAGGCUUCAGGAAAAGACUGACUGGCUUAUUGAUUGAUUGACUGAUUGACUGACUGAACAAGCCUCU